rnacentral:lncRNA from 1 species
UGGAAAUUAUUAACCUUUUGUAUGUCUUCAAAGAAUUUACGCUAAAAAGUUAUAAUUGAGAUCUACAAAAGCUCAUGUUAGCGAAUGGUCACAUAACUCGCAUGUGCUUGGAAGUAUUAACAGAUCCAUGCAGUGUCUCUUCAUUGUUGAAUUGAUAAGCAUUUGUGUUUUAUUUUCUAAGUUGAACCUGCACUUCUGAAAUAAUUGAUUUGAUUUACAUUCUCUUACCGUCUCUUUUUGUCUUAUUGAGCUGGGGGUUUAUCAGAAACAACCUCUCGGGUAGAAGUAAGGUUUGCAUACACACCACCCUCCCAAGACCCCACUUGUGAGAUUUUAUUAGGUCAUUGUUAUUGUUGAUUUACAUUUUCUUACCAAAAAUGCAGAAGCAAACAAUUGACGAAAACCUGGUGUUGAAAAUGCUUGAAGACAACUUGAAGUUAAUAUGGGAUCGCUGUUUGUCAGAUGGUUCUUCAAGCUGACCAUGUUUCGUGGCCCUUACUUUUUUGCAAAUAUCUGCAGAAACUGCUAUAUGUACGGUUGGUGAAGAAAGUUGAUCUUUUGAAUAGCAGUGGUGGAAUAUACAAUAUGUAUAUUUUUGAAUUAGGAACAAUAGUUGACCCAAAGCUGAAAUUACUUUUUGCACUAUGUAGUUUGUGUAUGGAACGAAUUGAUGCAAUGUCUCUGAUAUUGUAAAUAGUUCUGUUGUGAAGCCGUAAUGGAU